rnacentral:rRNA from 1 species
AUUGAACGCUGGCGGCAGGCCUAACACAUGCAAGUCGAGCGAGCGGCGGACGGGUGAGUAAUGUCUGGGAAACUGCCUGAUGGAGGGGGAUAACUACUGGAAACGGUAGCUAAUACCGCAUACCAUCAGAUGUGCCCAGAUGGGAUUAGCUAGUCGGUGAGGUAACGGCUCACCUAGGCGACGAUCCCUAGCUGGUCUGAGAGGAGGACCAGCCACACUGGAACUGAGACACGGUCCAGACUCCGACGUGAGGCAGCAGUGGGGAAUAUUGCACAAUGGGCGCAAGCCUGAUGCAGCCAUGCCGCGUGUGUGAAGAAGGCCUGCGGGUUGUAAAGCACUUUCAGCGGGGAGGCGGUACCCGCAGAAGAAGCACAGGCUAACUCCGUGCCAGCAGCCGCGGUAAUAC